rnacentral:rRNA from 1 species
CCCUAUGGGGCGCAGCAACAAACAGAACUUCGGGACAGGGCUCCUCAUGCCGUUGCUCAUGGUCGGGCUGCUCCUGCUGCGCAUCAUGUAUCCUCCUGUGGAGGGGCAGGCUCAGAGCGGAGUCCUUUUCUACAGUCUGAAAGGACCUGGCGCUGCGUAUGCACCGCUUUGGAUCUCUCUCGGGAUCGGCCUGUUUGUGGGCGUGCUGGCCCCGCGCAGCCGUUUCUGUACGAUGGGGGCGCUGCGGGACCUGUUCCUCUUCAAGCAAUGGCAUCUCUUUUCCGGCUUUCUGGCCCUCCUGGUGGCUGCUUUGCUGACCAACCUGGUCCGCUGCCAGUUUCAUCCCGGCUUCGAAAAGCAGCCCGUGGCCCACACGCAGGCCUUCUGGAACUUCGCCGGCAUGCUCGUUGCCGGUCUUUCCUUCGAAUUGGCGGGGGGGC